rnacentral:tRNA from 1 species
GGUGAGGCUGUGGCUCAGUGGUAGAGCAUCUGCUUGGCACGCAGAAAGUACCAGGUUCAAUCCCUGGCCUCUCUA